UCGGUAAUGCAUGCACGUUGAAACCACCAGUUCCCAAUUGAUCACUGAAGUUAAGCAACGUUGCGCGUAGUUAGAAUACGGCUGAGUGAACAAUUCACCAUUUGGGCUCUUCUGAG
rnacentral:rRNA from 1 species